AGGAUGAACGCUGGCGGCGUGCUUAACACAUGCAAGUCGAACGAUGAAGGCUGGAGCUUGCUCUGGCUGGAUUAGUGGCGAACGGGUGAGUAACACGUGAGUAACCUGCCCCAGACUCUGGGAUAAGCGCUGGAAACGGCGUCUAAUACCGGAUACGAGCUUCCACCGCAUGGUGAGGAGCUGGAAAGAAUUUCGGUCUGGGAUGGACUCGCGGCCUAUCAGCUUGUUGGUGAGGUAAUGGCUCACCAAGGCGACGACGGGUAGCCGGCCUGAGAGGGGUGACCGGGCCAACGACGUGGGACUGAGACACGGCCCAGACUCCUACGGGAGGCAGCAGUGGGGAAUAUUGCACAAUGGGCGCAAGCCUGAUGCAGCAACGCCGCGUGAGGACGAAGGCCUUCGGUUGUAACCUCUUUAGUUAGGAAGAAGCGAGGUGUUUAUUCGUACUUCAUGACGGUACCUGCAGAAAAGACAACCGGCUAACGUACGU
rnacentral:rRNA from 1 species